rnacentral:rRNA from 1 species
ACAGGCUGUUGCUGGCCCUCUCUUGUGAGGGGGACAUGUGCACGCUUGUCAUCUUUAUCUCUCCAACUGUGCACACAUUGUAGACCUGGAGUCGUCUUUGUUGAUUCAUUCGAGUUGGCACUGCAGCGCUUUUCAAAACAAAAAAAAGUCUGCUCUGCCUUUUGCAUUUCCAGGUCUAUGUCAUUUUCACAACCUCAAUGUGUUUAGAAUGUCGAAUCAGGUCCUUUUUUGUACCUAUAAAAGUUAAAUAUACAACUUUCAGCAACGGAUCUCUUGGCUCUCGCAUCGAUGAAGAACGCAGCGAAAUGCGAUAAGUAAUGUGAAUUGCAGAAUUCAGUGAAUCAUCGAAUCUUUGAACGCAUCUUGCGCUCCUUGGUAUUCCGAGGAGCAUGCCUGUUUGAGUGUCAUUUCAAGUUCUCAACUGCAUCAAUUUCUCGUUGAUGUGGCUUGGAUGUGGGGGAUUGAUUAUUGCAGGCUUCUGUCAAAGGAGGUCGGCUCCCCUGAAAAGUAUUAGUGGUAUCUGAGCAGAAGAAACUACUAUAGGUGUGAUAACUAUCUAUGCCUUCAGUAUGCUGCAUAAAAACAGAUUGCACUGCUUCUAACCUAGUGAAAACCUCUCUCUCUACAAGGAGGGGCCACAUUUGACGAAUUUGACCUCAAAUCAGGUAGGACUACCCGCUCAACUUAAGCAUAUCAAUAAGCGGAGGAGAAGAAACUAACAAGGAUUCCCCUAGUAACUGCGAGUGAAGCGGGAAAAGCUCAAAUUUGAAAUCUGGCGGUUUUUUGACUGUCCGAGUUGUAAUCUAGAGAAGUGUUACCUGUGCUGAACCGUGUACAAGUCUUCUGGAAUGGAGCAUCAUAGAGGGUGAGAAUCCCGUCUUUGACAUGGACUACCAGUACAUUAUGGUGCGCUCUCGAAGAGUCGAGUUGUUUGGGAAUGCAGCUCAAAAUGGGUGGUAAAUGCCAUCUAAAGCUAAAUAUUGGCGAGAGACCGAUAGCGAACAAGUACCGUGAGGGAAAGAUGAAAAGAACUUUGGAAAGAGAGUUAAACAGUACGUGAAAUUGCUGAAAGGGAAACGCUUGAAGUCAGUCACGUUGGCUAGAAAUCAGCCCUGCUCUUGCUCGGUGUACUUUCUGGUUGAUGGGUCAGCAUCAAUUUCGACCAUUGGAUAAAGUCUCUGGGAAUGUGGCAUCUUCGGAUGUGUUAUAGCCCAGGGUCGCAUGCAGUGGUUGGGAUUGAGGAACUCAGCACGCCGCAAGGCCGGGUUUCGACCACGUUCGUGCUUAGGAUGCUGGCAUAAUGGCUUUAAUCGACCCGUCUUGAAACACGGACCAAGGAGUCUAACAUGCCUGCGAGUGUUUGGGUGGAAAAACCCAUGCGCGGAAUGAAAGUGAAAGUUGAGAUCCCCCUCGAAAGGGAGCAUUGACGCCCGGACCAGAGCUUUUGUGACGGAUCCGCGGUAGAGCAUGUAUGUUGGGACCCGAAAGAUGGUGAACUAUGCCUGAAUAGGGUGAAGCCAGAGGAAACUCUGGUGGAGGCUCGUAGCGAUUCUGACGUGCAAAUCGAUCGUCAAAUUUGGGUAUAGGGGCGAAAGACUAAUC